rnacentral:lncRNA from 1 species
AGCACUGCAUGAGCACCCAUAGGUGUUAUGGAGCACCCAUGGGUGCUGUGGGGCACCCGUGGGUGCUGUGGGGUGCCUAUGGGGCUGGGCACUGCAGGAGCACCCGUGGGUGCUGUGGGGCACUUGUAGGUGCUGUGGGGCACCUGUGGGUGCUGUGGGGUGCCUGUGGGGCCAAGCACUGCAUGAGCACCCAUAGGUGCUAUGGGGCACCCAUGGGUGCUAUGGGGAACCCGUGGGUGCUGUGGGGGUGCCUAUGGAGCUGAGCACUGCAGGAGCACCCAUGGGUGCUAUGGGGCACUUGUAGGUGCUGUGGAGUGCCUGUAUGUGCUGUGGGGCACCCAUGGGUGCUGCCCUGACCCUCCUCCUCCUUCUGCUCUUCAGGUACGAGGUCGGGCACUUCACGAUCACCUAUAGGUGCUACGGGAAACCUAAGGGGCUGAUCGCUGCCAGUGCACCCAUGGGUGCUGCGGGGCACCCAUGGGUGCUGCCCGGGGGUCUCUCCCCACCCCCCCCUUCCCACAGGCGCCUGCGGUGCACCCGUAACUACAUCCACGCCAACCUGUUCCUCUCCUUCGUGCUGCGGGCGGGUGCCAUCCUGACGCGGGACGCGCUGCUGCACCGCCGCCUGCGCCGUGGGGCUGCCGACCCACUGCAGGUUUUGAGCCAGGAGGAGCCCCCGUGCUCUUCGUGGUGCCGUGGGUGGUGGUGCGUUACCUCUACGAGAACGAGGGGUGAGUCCCCCCCCCCCCCCCCUCCCCUCCCCCAACCUUUCUGUCACACGUUGGGGACACCGCUGCUGAUCCGUGUCCCCACGUGUAGGUGCUGGGAGAGGAACGAGAAGGCGGCGGUGUGGUGGAUCAUCCGCUGUCCCAUCCUGAUGGCCGUGGCGGUGGGUGACAUUUGGGGGUGGCGGGCGGGGGGGUGACACAUGUUGGAGGGGGGAACGGUGGGUGACGCCUCCUGUCCCCCCUUCCCGGUGACGCUGCAGGUGAAUUUCGUGGUGUUCGUGCGCAUCGUCCGCAUCCUGGUGGCCAAAGUGCGGGCGCAUCAGGUGGCCCGAGGGGACUGCAGGGUCAGGUGGGGACAUGGGGGGACACCGGGGGACGUGGGGACACCGAGGGACAUGGGGACACCGGGGGACAUGGGGAUACCAGGGGACAUGGGGACACUGCGGGACAUGGGGACAUAGGGACGCUGGGGGGCAUGGAGUUACUGAGGGGCAUGGGGACACUGAGGGACAUGGGGACAUAGGGACGCUGGGGGGCAUGGGGACAUUGGGGGAUCUGUGUUGGGACAUGGGGACACUGAGGGACAUGGGGACAUAGGGACACUGGGGGGCAUGGAGUUACCGGGGGGCGUGGGGACACAGGGGGACGUGGGGACAUGGGAACAUGGGGAUACCAGGGGACGUGGUGACACCGGGGUGUGCUUGGGGACAUGGGGACACUGAGGGACAUGGGGACAUAGGGACACUGGGAGACAUGGGAGCAUGGGGAUACCAGGGGACAUGGGGACACUGGGGGGCAUGGAGUUAUCGGGGGGCAUGGGGACACUGAGUGACAUGGGGACAUGGGGACACUGGGGGAUGUGGGGUUACUGGAGGGCAUGGGGACACAGGGGGACAUGGGGACAUGGGGACAUAGGGACACCAAGAUGUGCAUGGGGACAUGGGGGCACUGGGGGAUGUGGGGACAUGGGGACACAGUUCUGUGCAUGGGGACACUGGGGGACAUGGGGACAUUGGGGACAUGGGGACACUGGGGGCAUGGGGACAUUGGGGACAUGGGGACACUGGGAUGAGUGUGGGGACACUGGGGAUGUGUGGGAAGUGUGUCCCCAUCCACGUCCCCAUGAGUGUCCCCACCCAUGUCCCCAUCCCUGUCCCCAUCCCAUUCCAUGUCCCCAUCCCCACGAUGUCCCCAUCC